AACGAACGCUGGCGGCAGGCCUAACACAUGCAAGUCGAGCGAAGCCUUCGGGCUUAGCGGCGGACGGGUGAGUAACGCGUGGGAACGUGCCCUUUGCUACGGAAUAGCCCCGGGAAACUGGGAGUAAUACCGUAUGUGCCCUUCGGGGGAAAGAUUUAUCGGCAAAGGAUCGGCCCGCGUUGGAUUAGGUAGUUGGUGGGGUAAUGGCCUACCAAGCCGACGAUCCAUAGCUGGUUUGAGAGGAUGAUCAGCCACACUGGGACUGAGACACGGCCCAGACUCCUACGGGAGGCAGCAGUGGGGAAUUUUAGACAAUGGGCGGAAGCCUGAUCUAGCCAUGCCGCGUGAUCGAUGAAGGCCUUAGGGUUGUAAAGAUCUUUCAGGUGGGAAGAUAAUGACUGUACCACCAGAAGAAGCCCCGGCUAACUCCGUGCCAGCAGCCGCGGUAAAAC
rnacentral:rRNA from 1 species